GACGAACGCUGGCGGCGUGCCUAAUACAUGCAAGUCGAGCGGACUUUCAAGAAGCUUGCUUUUUGAAAGUUAGCGGCGGACGGGUGAGUAACACGUGGGCAACCUGCCUGCAAGACGGGGAUAACUCCGGGAAACCGGGGCUAAUACCGGAUAAUAUCUUCCUUCGCAUGAAGGAAGGUUGAAAGGCGGCGCACGCUGCCGCUUGCAGAUGGGCCCGCGGCGCAUUAGCUAGUUGGUGAGGUAACGGCUCACCAAGGCGACGAUGCGUAGCCGACCUGAGAGGGUGAUCGGCCACACUGGGACUGAGACACGGCCCAGACUCCUACGGGAGGCAGCAGUAGGGAAUCUUCCGCAAUGGACGAAAGUCUGACGGAGCAACGCCGCGGGAGCGAAGAAGGUCUUCGGAUCGUAAAGCUCUGUUGUCAGGGAAGAACAAGUACCGUUCGAACAGGGCGGUACCUUGACGGUACCUGACCAGAAAGCCACGGCUAACUACGUG
rnacentral:rRNA from 1 species